rnacentral:rRNA from 1 species
AUAGGGAGUCGUGCCUUCCCAGUGGGCAUACGAGCCUAAACGGACGCGGUAAAUCGUGCUAAGGUAGCUAAGUUAUGGCCUAUUAAUUGUAGGUCUUGUGAAUGGUUUGACGAGCCUCCAACUGUCUCUAGGUUGUUUUGGUGAACUUGAGUUGAAUGUGUAAAUGCCUUCGUGGGUAAGAAAGACGAGAAGACCCCGUGAAGUUAAAAAUUUUAGCGUAUGGAGUGUUAUUCCCUGUUGGUGAAGGCUAGAGGGUUAAGGGAUUUGGUUGGUUUCUAAGUGAGGGGGUGUAGUGAAUGGUUUUUGCUGGGGCAGCAAAAGGGCAAAUUUAGACCUUAAUUGUAUUUAAAACGGGUGCGUUACGACCCAUAAUUAAAAAGGUGUGAUUAGCAGAAGGAGUUACUCCGGGGAUAACAGCGUUAUUCGUCCUGAGAGUUCUUAUUGGUGGACGGGUUUGCGACCUCGAUGUUGGCUCUGGAUAUCCUGGGGCUUGCAGGCGGUCCCAAGGGUUGGUUCGUUCGCCCAUUAAAAAUC